CUACGGGAGGCAGCAGCAAGGAAUUUUCGGCAAUGGGCGCAAGCCUGACCGAGCAACGCCGCGUGGAGGAUGACGGCCUUCGGGUUGUAAACUCCUUUUCCAGGGGAUGAUGAUGACCGUACCCUGGGAAUAAGUCUCGGCUAACUACGUGCCAGCAGCCGCGGUAAAACGUAGGAGGCGAGCGUUAUCCGGAUUGACUGGGCGUAAAGCGCACGCAGGCGGUGGGGCACGUGGGGUGUGAAAGCGGCCCGCUUAACGGGGCGAGGCCAUCCCAUACGGCCCGACUCGAGAGUGGCAGAGGUUCGUGGAAUUGCCGGUGUAGUGGUGAAAUGCGUAGAGAUCGGCAGGAACACCAAGGGGGAAACCAGCGAACUGGGCCAUAUCUGACGCUCAGGUGCGAAAGCGUGGGGAGCGAACCGGAUUAGAAACCCCAGUAGUCC
rnacentral:rRNA from 1 species